AUUUCAUCCGCCUGUUCUGAAACCAGAUUUUGAUCUGCCUUUCCGAGAGACACAAAGAGUGGGCGAUCUCGAUGCGCCUUCGCCUGGUCAGUAUUAUGGGGAAUUAAUUCCGACAGAGACAGGGCCCCCAGAAGAGCAGGCACAGAUGUAAAGUGUCAGCAUGAGUCUGCAGCAGCGCAUCAACCUAAAUCCAGCGCGAAGCUCUACACAGGGCGGUGGUAAUAGGGGCGCUCCUAAACCCCCUGCGCCCCGAAGCAGACCCGUCCUCUACCUCUGCCUGGGCUCUCUUUCGACAUAGCCCGUUCCUGAUUCGGUCCAAUCCAAUGAAGAAUGGGGGAAUUGCUUCAAAGAUUAGACCCUCUCCUGUUUUGUGUGUGUGUGGGUCUUGCUUUUUUUUUUUGUCUGUGCGUGUCAUUCUUAAAGGGAGCGAUUGGGUGCAUUCAUCUUCCCAGCCCAGAGAUCUGGAGAUCUAGGGUCCUGGCUGGAAGCAGACCUGAGCUACACACAUUCCCAGCUUGGAAGGGCAAGUGAUCUGUUUAGAAAUAAAAACAGCAGGGCAGAGGUAUGUUGGGCAUAUUGGACGAUUUCCAGACCGUAGCCCCGGCGAUCUCUCUCCUGGGGGCGAGGGGGGGAGGAGAGGCACUUGGGGGGAUGCAAGGAAAAGCAGGGAUUUAGCAGCUCUGUGGAAUUUACGACCUUAAAGACCCCCCCUCCCUUCACUUCCUGUGAUUAGAGACAGAUCAAAACGGACACCUACCUGCGUUUACGACUCCCCUCCCUCCUUGUGACAGGAAAAACCUCCUGUAAUAAAAGUCUAGUCAGCCAUCCCUUUUGUAGAGAGAUGAAACAAAAAAUCUGGGUAAUCACCUCUCGGGAGACUACGGGGGCAGAGGCUUGGCUUUUGUUUGCUUUAAAAAAAUCAAAUCCAAAUAAAAGAGCAUUACUUACUGCUGCCUCUCUCCAUUUUGUUAGGGCCAAACCUACAGGAAAGAAAGUUUCAUUUUUUUAAAGAGAGAUACAGAUCGCCCAGCACGUCUCCCCACACGCCGGCUCCACUCAGCGCUUUGCAAAGUGCCGGCUACAAGUGCUGGGGGAUGACAGGACAGUUCGUGUUACCUGAACUCAAGCAAACUAAUCCUGCCGGGGACAGAAAUACAUGCAAAGGUCACCAGGAGCAGCUUUCCCUUCCCAUGUGAUUAUUUUGUUGUGGAGACUGGAAUGAGAGAAAUCUGCCCAGUGCUAGGAGGGCAGUGUGUGAUAUGGGUCUGCGUGUGUGCAUGUGUGUGCAGGCUCACACGGGCGGAGGAGGGGGAAGGAAUCCAGAGAAGAUUGACCAGGAACUAUAAAGGGGGGAGAUAUUUCUUCAUUUAGACCGAAAUCCCUGCUGCCUCCAGCCUCUUCCCGAUUUCUUUUGGGCAGGGGAAACAAAUGGGGUUUAAAACACACCCACCCCCUCAUACACACACACCCACAGAGUCUGAAUCAGUGGAACAAUGAAGGGAUGUCAUUUCCCCCCCCGCAUUUGAAAGAAUCAAUGUUUGCCAGCCCUGGCGGGGUAGGAAGGGUGACAGCAUUCAUAUCUGCCACGAAAGAGAGAAAUCGCGAGUAAAUCCCACCCACCCCCACAGCCACCCCCCACCUCCCAAAAUCGAUACCUCCGAAUUCAACUCUUGGCCGGGAAAACCCAGAUCAAAACCUCAUUUGAUAGAAAUGCUCUUUCAGAACUAGAUCAUAAAUCAAUAAAAUCAAUCCAUCCCAUACAAUCUCCAUAGACAAGGGACCCUGCAGUCUGCCUCCUAUAUAAAAAAAGAGGGGAGAAAAAGGGAUGUUUAAAAACUAGUCUUUCCACCACAAGGGGAAAAAAAAAAGAGAAAAAAAAGCCAAAAUACUGAGAUCAUCAAACUAAAAUUAAGUGAAGUCGACCAUGGAAGGGUACCUAUUUUAGCUAUAUUAUCAUUCCCGCCGUCUCCUAAUCCUCAUGCCUCGCGUUCAGUCAGCAGCUGAACGGGUUGUCUUUUAAACGACUUUGAUUCCCAAAUAUUUCCAUCGGGUUUUUUGGGUUGGGUUUUGGUUUUUUUUAAGGAGAAAUUAUUAAAAAAUGAACCCUUAGAAAAAAAACAUGCUCUCUUCAGAAGAUGCCGAGGAGACAGAUAGAAGGGGAAACAGUGGUUUUCUAACAAGCAGCGUUAGAGAAAAAUAAAUUCAAGGUAAUUCAAGAUAUUCAAGAUAUUCAAGAUUAAAAAAAAAAAAAUGACCCCGGAGAAGAAGAAAUGGCAGUGACUUGCCAGCUCCAUACUGGGAGCAAGCUCCGAAUCGAUAAUCGAAGGGGGAGGCAGGCAAUAAAGGGUCACACUGGGAGCAUGUGUCCAAGUCCCACCAAAACUUCCUUCUCCUGUCAAAGAUUUGCAAAAGCUCCUAUUCAUAACCUUGCUAAAGACACUCAGCGCUUUGCUCCGUGCCUUUACCUACUGUACCCUGGGUACCCACUACCCAGGCUCUGAAAUAUGUUUUCAAAUGGCUUGGAUUUUUUUUAUUUUUUUUUAGUGCUGGUGUAGCAGUGGAACCCAAACCCAUACUGCCCUUUGGAUAUUGGUGUUUUAAAGAAGAGGGGAGAGCAACUGCAGAGAAUCUGGAAGAGAUUCUUUCCUUACUUCCGCCUUUCCAAAGGUUAUUUGGAAAUACUCAAAUCCUCCCAAACGAUCUGUUGGCUUGCUUUCAAGGAGGAUUGCACCCUGCUUUCCAACUGGACUGCAUCCUGCAUUCAAGGUGGAUUGCACCCUGCUUUCCCAGUGGAUUGCACCCUGCUUUCCAAAUGGAUUGUACCCUGCUUUCCAACCGAAUUGCAUCCUGCAUUCAAGGUGGAUUGCACCCUGCUUUCCCAGUGGAUUGCAUUCUGCAUUCAAGGUGGAUUGCAUUCUGCUUUCCAGGUGGAUUGCAUCCUUUCAAGGCUGAUUGUAUUCUGCAUGCAAGGCGGAUUGCAUCCGGCUUUCAAGGCAGAUGGCACAUGGUGGCUUCAAGGAAUCAUACGACUCUCGCCUUGUGUGAUAAGACCUGCGAUCCUUGUUGGUGUGCAGGGGACAGAAAAUGCUUAAGAAAGUUACAGGUCCGUCUUAAAACACAUGAUGGGAAGACACGGUAGGUCUUAUUCAAGACGAACGCAGCUGUUGAGGGUGUCCUAUAACACGGGGUAAAACAUGCCCUCUCCACUGGGAAGAUACAACCAACUUAAGGUUGCCUCUCAGGUGCUUCUAGGCGACACCCCGGAUCUGCUCUGCUCUCCCUCUGAUUUUCUUUGGAGGACAAGCACGAUUUUAAGGAACAAAAAAAUGCCAGGAGGGGCUGUCCUCCCAACAUCUUAGUGGCCCAAAUCACGUAGGCGACGUGGAAGAGCAGGCAGCCAAAGUGCCUUUAGUGAAGUAGGCGCUCGCCACAUUUCCAUUCCAAAUUAGACGGCGUGGCACUGGAUUUCAAAUCUCCCCAGUGACAGCGCCGCAAGAUGGAUAUAGUCGAGUCCCGUGAUGUAUCCCCUGUCUCUGGUAGAACUUGGACUGUAUUUAUGCUUCAAUAAAAAAGCUCUUGCAAUGAUA